rnacentral:lncRNA from 1 species
UACACAGCCACCUCACCCCAGGAUGAGCCAGCUCUGUUACCCUGCCAUUUAAGCCACUGAGAGUGGAAGAUGAUAACCCUCGAGUGUGGAGGAUUCUGAGUCCCUGAGCAUGGAAGACCCUAGGUCUGGAGGACCACAGCUCAGGGGUCGGAAGGACUCCCAGGCUCUGGCACACCGCCCGCCCCGCCCAAUCCGAGCAGAGAGGGCCCCAGGAGAUGGAACACAAGAUGAUGAGUUUUGAUGAGACAGCAGGUGAAUUUGGAAGUCCUGAGAUGCUGCACAGAGCAGUAACAGCCUCUGUGUUUUGUGGGGGGUUAACGGAGGGGGGAGGAGUAAAAUGGAGGCAUCUGAGUAAAAUGGAGGCAUGCGUGUCAAAGACGAAUUUACAUCUACCAACCUCACUGUCCCUGGAGGGCUGGCCCAGACGCUGCCCAGUUUGGCGGAGCAGAGACCUGCAGCCGUGAGUCUCCUGGAGAUGCCCAUUGCGUGCAGAGCUGGGCUGGAGGACACCUGCCUGUGGACCGUGAAACCUCACCCUGGUCUGAACAACGCCCACCUCCAGCUCCAGAAAAUGCUCCGUGGUUCUAGAAAGGCCCUGCCUUGUCUCUGAAAAACACUUUCUCCUUCCCCCCAACAUCUCUGACCCCAGAAGACCCUCCCCACCCUUGGCUCCGAGGAAGCCUGAAGGAGGCUUUGUUCCUGCCUCCGGAAAAUAUUUGGUCUCUGACUUGGGAGGGCUCUUUCUGACAAAUGUAGGAAAAAGUACUUUGUGAAACUAAAAAGCGGCGCCUGGCAUGCGGCAGCUGCUCAAUAAACGUGUGUGGAA